rnacentral:rRNA from 1 species
UACGAAGGGGGCGAGCGUUGUUCGGAAUCACUGGGCGUAAAGCGCGUGUAGGCGGCCCUGCAAGUCGGGUGUGAAAUCCCACGGCUCAACCGUGGAAGUGCAUUCGAAACUGCAGGGCUAGAGUCCUGGAGAGGAAGGUGGAAUGCUUGGUGUAGAGGUGAAAUUCGUAGAUAUCAAGCGGAACACCGGUGGCGAAGGCGGCCUUCUGGACAGUGACUGACGCUGAGACGCGAAAGCGUGGGGAGCAAACAGG